rnacentral:piRNA from 1 species
UGGAAUUAAAGACUGCACCACCACUG